GUGGGGAAUCUUCCGCAAUGGACGAAAGUCUGACGGAGCAACGCCGCGUGAGUGAUGAAGGUCUUCGGAUCGUAAAGCUCUGUUGUAAGGGAAGAACGUCUCUGUAAGAAACAGGGAGUGACGGUACCUUACCAGAAAGCCACGGCUAACUACGUGCCAGCAGCCGCGGUAAUACGUAGGUGGCAAGCGUUAUCCGGAAUUAUUGGGCGUAAAGGGUGCGUAGGCGGCUUGUUAAGUUUAUGGUGAAAGCGUGGGGCUUAACCCCAUUAAGCAAUAGAUACUGGCAGGCUAGAGUGUAGAAGAGGGCAGUGGAAUUCCAUGUGUAGCGGUAAAAUGCGUAGAUAUAUGGAGGAACACCAGUGGCGAAGGCGGCUGCCUAGUCUACAACUGACGCUGAGGCACGAAAGCGUGGGGAGCAAAUAGGAUUAGAAACCCUUGUAGUCC
rnacentral:rRNA from 1 species